GUACAUGGCCAUACCACCCUGAAUGCGCCUGAUGUCGUCUGACUGCAGAAGCUAAGCAGGGUCUGGCCUGGUUAGUACUUUGAUGGGAGUACAUGACAAAGUUUAAUAAUACUAUACACA
rnacentral:rRNA from 1 species